AUGCGACACUUCGGCAGCACAUAUACUAAAACUGGAACAAUACAGAGAAGAUUAACAUGGCCCCCGCACAAGGAUGGCACGCAAAUUCGUGGAGUGUUCCAUAUUUUU
rnacentral:snRNA from 1 species